rnacentral:misc_RNA from 1 species
AACGCAACUUGCGCCCUCUGGUAUUCUGGAGGGCAUGCCUGUUUGAGUGUCAUGUAGACUCAACCCCUCGGGUUUCCGAGUAGGUUGGAUUUGGGUGUUGCCUGUCUCUGGCUCGCCUUAAAGAACUUAGUGGAGAUAGCAUCCUAGUCGACGUAAUAAGUUUCGUCGGUGAUGGUGUGAAGUCUGCUCAUAACUGCCCUUGGGCACUUUUUGACUCCGACCUCAAAUCAGGUAGGACUACCCGCUGAACUUAA